rnacentral:rRNA from 1 species
CGGUAAUUCCAGCUCCAAUAGCGUAUAUUAAAGUUGUUGCCGUUAAAAAGCUCGUAGUCGAACUUCGGCCUUUGCCGCCCGGUCCGCCCUAUGGGUGUGUACUGGAGCGGUGGAGGCUUACCUCGUGGUGAACGGCCAUGCUCUUUACUGGGUGUGGUCGGGAACCAUGAUUUUUACUUUGAAAAAAUUAGAGUGUUCAAAGCAGGCUUACGCCCGAAUACAUUAGCAUGGAAUAAUAAAAUAGGACGUGCGGUUCUAUUUUGUUGGUUUCUAGAAUCGCCGUAAUGAUUAAUAGGGAUAGUUGGGGGCAUUCGUAUUCAAUUGCUAGAGGUGAAAUUCUUGGAUUUAUUGAAGACGAACUACUGCGAAAGCAUUUGCCAAGGAUGUUUUCAUUGAUCAAGAACGAAGGUUAGGGGAUCGAAAACGAUCAGAUUCCGUUGUAGUCUUAACAGUAAACGAUGCCGACUAGGGAUCGGACGAGGAUUUUUAAUGACUCGUUCGGCACCUGAAGAGAAAUCUUUAAGUCUAGGUUCGGGGGGGAGUAUGGUCGCAAGGCUGAAACUUAAAGGAAUUGACGGAAGGGCACCACCAGGUGUGGAGCCUGCGGCUUAAUUUGACUCAACACGGGGAAACUCACCAGGUCCAGACACGACAAGGAUUGACAGAUUGAUAGCUCUUUCUUGAUUUCGUGGUUGGUGGUGCAUGGCCGUUCUUAGUUGGUGGAGUGAUUUGUCUGGUUAAUUCCGAUAGCGAACGAGACCUUAACCUGCUAAAUAGCCCGGCCGACUUUGGUUGGUCGCUGGCUUCUUAGAGGGACUAUCAGCGUUUAGCUGAUGGAAGUUUGAGGCAAUAACAAGUCUGUGAUGCCCUUAGAUGUUCUGGGUCGCACGCGCGCUACACUGACCGAACCAGCGAGUUUAUCACCUUGGCCGGAAGGCCUGGGUAAUCUUGUGAAACUCGGUCGUGAUGGGGAUAGAGCAUUGCAAUUAUUGCUCUUCAACGAGGAAUACCUAGUAAGCGUGAGUCAUCAGCUCGCGUUGAAUUCGUCCCUGCCCUUUGUACACACCGCCCGUCGCUACUACCGAUUGAAUGGCUUAGUGAGGUCUCCGGAUUGGCUUCUGGGAGCCGGCAACGGCACCUAGUCGCUGAGAAGUUGAACGAACUUGGUCAUUUAGAGGAAGUAAAAGUCGUAACAAGGUAGCCG